UGCCUACCUGUGCAGCCUGCUGUAGGGAGCCUGCUUUGCAGGGGGUUGGACUCGGUGAUCUCUGGAGGUGCCUUCUAACCCCUGCUAUUCUCAAGUCAAACUUCAUUUCAUCCGGAACAAUGACUGAAUUGCCCGAUGAAAGGUGGCGUGAAACAACAUUUGGACUUGAGAUCGUGAAAGGUGCUGUCAGAAACAUUGUUCGGAGCUAUGGAAAAACACCAGGUAGAGGAUUUGCUUGAACACACAAAUAAAUUUUAGCUACUUAUCUUAAAGUUUUAGCUCUUUUAUAAAGGGGUAGGUGACAUGAGUCUAGUUAGAAACAAUGAAUUGCAAUGCUUCUUGCCUGAUACAGUGACUGUCACAUACACACAAACAUGGCUGCUUGCUUAGAGGAUGCUGGGAAGAUGGCACAGAACAAGUACUUCUACCAAGUGGCACAAGUGACAGAAGGAUUAAGUGCAUGUCUGUGCCACAGUCAGAGUGACCCUGCAUGUGAUGGCUCUGGUCUGAUGACACUGCUGGUCAUUGUGGUAUCAUGGUCACAUUCGGUGUCAUCGUCUUGUGCAUUCACAGAAGUCAUGGCAGCAAGCACCAUGAGCAGAUUGUGAUUUGACUGUAGAGCUUCAUUUCUCUUGAUUUUUUGUUGGAUUCUAUCCCAUCUGAAAACUAUGUGUUAGUUGAAGGAUGUUGAAAAAUAAAAGAAUAAAUCAGACCCUAUGGAACUGGACAGACUUCAUUCACUCAUGCUGGAAUCAGCUCUUGUAACAGGUAAAGACAUUGUAGGAUGCUUUUUUAAGAACUGCCUAAGCGCGGGCUUCUCGGAGUGCAGCAACAGGUGCCACUAUAUAAGGGUUAAUGCAGUUUGGCACAGGCAAGGCAGUAACUGCAGACGAGGACAAUUCAUCUGUGAUGCUGAUGGAGUUACUCCUUUCCUGGGGUGUGCUGGAAGUCACAAGGCCAAAGGCCAAGUGACUUCACUCUUCUCAGAAGAGGCCAUGACACAUAUCCUGGAAUGUCACACUGAAAUUGCAAAAACAUCUGACAAGGACUGAGGCUCUCUACAGACACCAGCGUGAGCCCUCGGAUGUUUUUCACUUCUGAUCACUGAUUUAAUAACCCGGCACAUCUCUCAGAGCUACUGAGAUAAGUACUCAGCUAUUACUUGUAGAUCACGCCAAUACUAUCGUAUAGUUUCAUGUCUUACUGCAGUUUUCUUAGGCCAUCAAAGCAGGCUUUUUUUGACCUGGUCAGAUAACUCUGAGUACCAGACUGUUUCUUGAUACCUUGAUAAACAAACUCGUCUCUUUACCUGAAGGAGGAUCGUUUCUCAGAACUGAUGUUUUUAGGAUUAAGUUACAGAAAAAUUGCUGUCCAUAUGUGCUGUGCAAAGUAAGCGAAGCCAAACACAGCCCAAACUGUAAUAAUAUCAGAAGAGCAAUAAUUUGAAAUGAGGUGGCUUGUUACAAACUGCAGUCUGUUUGGAAAAGAACUCCUUUUCCUCAGCCCUGGGAAGUUCAAAGGCUCCAUUGGUUACAGUUUGUACAGUGCUGUGAGUUCCUCACAUAGUGCUCCAAAAGUGGCAGGUUUAUCUCAUUUAUCACAAAAUGAUAUAUCUGAAGGAUGAAAAUGAGUAACCCAUGGCAAACCUAAGAUGGUCACUUAAGAGCUUGCGUAUUAGUUGCAAUUAGUAUAUGGUUGUGCAUUUCAUAAAGAUUUUGACUUUCAAUGAAAACAAAAUACUGCACCAAGUAAUCAAAAUUAGUGGAGUUGCACCACUUUGUACCAAUAUCACAGAAUCACAGAAUGGCCCAG